rnacentral:lncRNA from 1 species
GUCAGUCCAUCAGAUUUGCUCUGGGCCGGUGGUACCGAGUCUAAGCACUGCGGUGAAGGAGUUAGUAGAAAACAGUCUGGAUGCUGGUGCCACUAAUAUUGAGAUAGAGUUUCUCCAUGUUGGUCAGGCUGGUCUCGAACUACUGACCUCAGGUGAUCCGCUCGCUUUGGUCUCCCAAAGUGCUGGGAUUACAGGCAUGAACCACCGCGCCUGGCCCCCGUUCUCCUUACUGGAUCUAAAGCUUAAGGACUAUGGAGUGGAUCUCAUUGAAGUUUCAGGCAAUGGAUGUGGGGUAGAAGAAGAAAACUUCGAAGGCUUAACUCUGAAACAUCACACAUCUAAGAUUCAAGAGUUUGCCGACCUACCUCAGGUUGAAACUUUUGGCUUUCGGGGGGAAGCUCUGAGCUCACUUUGUGCACUGAGUGAUGUCACCAUUUCUACCUGCCAUGUAUCGGCGAAGGUUGGGACUCGACUGGUGUUUGAUCACUAUGGGAAAAUCAUCCAGAAAACCCCCUACCCCCACCCCAGAGGGAUGACAGUCAGUGUGAAGCAGUUAUUUUCUACGCUACCUGUGCACCAUAAAGAAUUUCAAAGGAAUAUUAAGAAGUGAGUGAGCGCUCAUGGGAUCUGGUUGUUUAGAAGCAUGCACCACCUCCCGCUUCACUCUCUCUGUCUCUCCUGCUCCACCAUGGCCAGAAACGUGCCUGCUUCCCCUUCGCCUUCUGCCGUGAUUGUCAGUUUCCUGAGGCCUCCCCAGCCAUGCUUCCUGUACAGCCUGCAGAACUGACUCCUAGAAGUACCCCACCCCACCCCUGCUCCUUGGAGGACAACGUGAUCACUGUAUUCAGCUCUGUCAAGAAUGGUCCAGGUUCUUCUAGAUGAUCUGCACAAAUGGCUCCUCUCCUCCUUCCUGAUGUCUGCCAUUAGCACUGGAAUAAAGUUCCUGCUGAAAAUCCACAUCUCCCCUGGGUCCGGUGUUCUGGAAGUGAGAGAGACAAUGUCACACCUCAAGGAGACAGCUCUCUAGACAGGAAGGUUAUUCACGUCCCAUGUCAAGUCUAGCUAGAGUUCAGAGCAAUUGAGAAGUGCGAUUUUAUCUCCUGCCUUUCAUUCUAUACCCUGCUUCUGAACCAUCGUGUUCAACUGUGAAACUCACGCUUUGGUGACCCUGACUCCAAAACUUAAUACACCCAAGGUCAGCCCCAGUGAUCUGCUUCAUAGCGAGGACUUUGGGUGGGUCUUCCCAGGGAGUAGGGCACCCUCAGAGAAUGUGGCUUUGGACUUCAUCACAGCUAGGGUCUUUUGUGUCACUUCAGAUCUAAACUUGUAACUGUGCUAGAUCUGUUUCUAAUGUGACAACAUCACAAACCACGAGUCCAGAAGCCUAAUCCAUAAUCCUACCUCCUCAUGACGAAGUCUCAUGCUCUGUGC